UGCAGGUAGGCAGGGGGAGCAGG
rnacentral:miRNA from 1 species